rnacentral:rRNA from 1 species
AUUGAACGCUGGCGGCAGGCCUAACACAUGCAAGUCGAACGGUAACAGGAAACAGCUUGCUGUUUCGCUGACGAGUGGCGGACGGGUUAGUAAUGUCUGUGAAACUGCCUGAUGGAGGGGGAUAACUACUGGAAACGGUUGCUAAUACCGCCUAACGUCGCAAGCCCAAAGAGGGGGACCUUCGGGCCUCUUGCCUUCAGCUGUGCCCAGAUGGGAUUAGCUAGUAGGUGGGGUAACGGCUCACCUAGGCGACGAUCCCUAGCUGGUCUGAGAGGAUGACCAGCCACACUGGAACUGAGACACGGUCCAGACUCCUACGGGAGGCAGCAGUGGGGAAUAUUGCACAAUGGGCGCAAGCCUGAUGCAGCCAUGCCGCGUGUAUGAAGAAGGCCUUCGGGUUGUAAAGUACUUUAAGCGGGGAGGAAGGGAGUAAAGUUAAUACCUUUGCUCAUUGACGUUACCCGCAGAAGAAGCACCGGCUAACUCCGUG